GGGGUGGUAGAUCAAUUGGUUAGAUCGCAGCACUGUCACUGCUGAGGCUGGGGGUUCAAGUCCCCUCCAUCCCGCCA
rnacentral:tRNA from 1 species